GAAUAUUGGACAAUGGGGGCAACCCUGAUCCAGCCAUGCCGCGUGUGUGAAGAAGGCCUUUUGGUUGUAAAGCCCUUUUGUUGGGAAAGAAAAGCAGUCGGCUAAUACCCGGUUGUUCUUACGGUACCCAAAGAAUAAGGCCCGGCUAAACUCGUGCCAGCAGCCGCGGUAAUACGCAGGGUGAAAGCGUUACUCGGAAUUACUGGGCGUAAAGCGUGCGUAGGUGGUUGUUUAAGUCUGUUGUGAAAGCCCUGGGCUCAACCUGGGAAUUGCAGUGGAUACUGGGCGACUAGAGUGUGGUAGAGGGUAGUGGAAUUCCCGGUGUAGCAGUGAAAUGCGUAGAGAUCGGGAGGAACAUCCAUGGCGAAGGCAGCUACCUGGACCAACACUGACACUGAGGCACGAAAGCGUGGGGAGCAAACAGG
rnacentral:rRNA from 1 species